rnacentral:snRNA from 1 species
GCGAUUGUCACCUUCACUAAAAUUGGAACGAUACAGAGAAGAUUAGCAUGGCCCCUGUGCAAGGAUGACACGCUUAAUUCGAGAAAUGGUCUAAAUUUUA